rnacentral:rRNA from 1 species
AUGAAGGCAUCAUUAAAAACUAUCCUCCCACAAACUCUGCAUAAGUUGUGUCGGUGGCAUAUCAUGAAGAAGUACAAGGACCACCUCGCCUUGCUGUAUAAGGCGCACGAGAAGCUCAAGGAUGAACUCAAUGCAGUGCUGAACCACCCACUAAUGUCGUCAAAAUUUGAACGAGCAUGGAAGAACCUCAUUCAAAGGUACAACUUGCAAGACGAAGUGAUGAAUUCGCUGUGGGAUGACAGGCACGAGUGGAUCUCAGCUUACUACAAGGAAAUUUUCUGUGCUCGAAUGACUUCCACACAGAGAAGCAAGAGCAUGAACCGCAUACUGAAGAAAAUUUUUGUCAGGGAGAAGCAUGAUCUCCAUCUGUUUGCUCAGUAGGUGGACAAGUGCAUUCAGACCAAGAAGGCCGUCGAGCACGCAGAGACAGUAGCAAAUGAGUCAGAGGUAAAAACAACAACAAAGUUUGGCUUUGAAGUUCAGCUAUCAAAAGUGUAUACAAGGGUAGUGUUUGCAGAUUUCAAAGAAACACUCUACCGUAGCACUGCAUUCAGAGCAGAACGGUGCCCUGAGAACCCGACAAAGUAUCUCGUACACCACUACAACAGAUCGGAUGCAUUUGACUGGGCAAGGCAUAAUUUCCAAGUGGUCGCCGAUGAACAGAAAGGUGUCUAUGAAUGUGAGUGCAAACUCUGGACACACACAGGCCUCUUUUGCGUCCAUGUCUUAUGCAUGCUUUCUCAUUUGAGAGUACUCAACAUUCCUAUGGUGUACAUCAAGAAAAGAUACACCCGUAACGCAAGAUUAGAUGCAACAUUUGACAAAAGAGACUACGAACAAACAGCACCAGAUGGAACCUCGCUUUUUUGCCGUAGAAAAUUGCUGACAGAAACAGCAAUGGACCUUGCAAACAGAGCGACAAGGUCCGAC